GAUGACCUUUAAAGGACCUUUCAACCCACACUACUCUAGGAUUUGGUGAUUUUAUGACUGACAACAAACUCCUGUUAACUUACAAGGUCAUAUUUCUGAAGACCUCACAAGCAUCACGCUGCCAUUUGCCAAAAAAUUAACAUAAGGUCUUUCCUGCCUUGAUCUGAAAUUCUUUAGAACACAGAAGAAGUGACUAUUUUCUGCUUGGACUUUACUGGCUAGUUCCACUUUCAUUGUUGUGGGCCUCUUCGAGCCUAAACAGAUAACAUACAUCCAGCACACGGGUUUUUAACUAAUUACUAAUGUUCUUAAAGCACUUUGAAGAGUAAAAGCACAAUACAUGUGUUAAUUAUUAUUAAGAACUUAGCUUUGAACAUCAUGUUCUGAUAUGAAAAAUGUUUAGUGAGUCCUCACCAAAUUGUAGCGUUAUAAAUGUAUUUCAUUAAGAGGUCAUUAAGACAUUAAAAGGCAUCAUUACUAAUCUAUACAUGAUCUAAG